rnacentral:tRNA from 1 species
UCCCUAGAGGACCAGUGGUUAGGCCACAGUGCUCUCACCGCUGCAGCCUGGGUUUGAUUCCUGGCUAGGGAA